GACGAACGCUGGCGGCGUGCCUAAUACAUGCAAGUCGAACGCAGUGGGGACGGGUGAGUAACACGUGGGUAACCUCCCAUCAGAGGGGAUACCACUUGGAAACAGGUGCUAAACCGAUACUGAUGGAUGGACCGGCUGUGCAUUAGCUAGUUGGUGAGGUAACUGCUCACCAAGGCCACGAUGACUAGGCGAAGGGAGAGGGGGAUCGGCCACACUGGGACUGAGACACGGCCAAGAAGCCUACGGGAGGCAGCAGGAGGGAAUCUUAGGCAAUGGACGAAAGUCGGACCGAGCAACGCCGCGGGAGUGAAGAAGGUUUUCGGAUCGUAAAACUCUGUUGUUAGAGAAGCGGUAUCUAACCAGAAAGCCACGGCUAACUACGUGCCAGCAGCCGCGGUAAUUC
rnacentral:rRNA from 1 species